rnacentral:rRNA from 1 species
CCUACGGGUGGCUGCAGUAGGGAAUAUUCCACAAUGAGCGAAAGCUUGAUGGAGCGACACAGCGUGCACGAUGAAGGUCUUCGGAUUGUAAAGCGCUGUUAUAAGGGAAGAACAUUUGCAAUAGGAAAUGAUUGCAGACUGACGGUACCUGGACAGAAAGCGAUGGCUAACUAGGUGCCAGCAGCCGCGGUAAUACAUAGGUCGCAAGCGUUAUCCGGAAUUAUUGGGCGUAAAGCGUUCGUAGGCUGUUUGUAAAGUCAGGGGUAAAAUCCCGGGGCUCAACCCCGGAUCGCCUUUGAUACUGGCAAACUAGAGUUAGUGAGAGGUAAGCGGAAUUCCAGGUGGAGCGGUGAAAUGCGUAGAUAUCUGGAAGAACAUCAAAGGCGAAGGCAACUUACUGGCACUAAACUGACGCUGAGGGACGAAAGCGUGGGUAGCAAACAGGAUUAGAUACCCUUGUAGUC